UUGGAGUUCCCAUCGUGGCUCAGUGGUUAACGAAUCCGACUAGGACCAUGAGGUUGUGGGUUCAAUCCCUGGCCUUGCUCAGUGGGUUAAGGAUCCGGCAUUGCCGUGAGCCAUGGUGUAGGUCAAAGAUAGGGCUUGGGAUCCCGUGUGGCUGUGGCUGUGGUGUAGGCCAGUGACUACAGCUCUGAUUCAACCCCUAGCCUGGGAACCUCCACGUGCCGUGGGUGUGGCCCUAGAAAAGACAGAAAAAAAAGAAAGAAAAGAAAUAGCUCAGUCCCUGCCUUCAAGGUGCUCAGGGUUGGCCGAAGAAAUAAAAAACAAUUUUAUACAGAACUCCGCCAGAGUACAGCACACCUGACUCCUGAUACUGCAACCAAGGAGCAUCAGUACUGAAGUGUCUAUUUGCCUGAUGCACAGCAAAGCCCAACAACACUGAACCAUCAGGGUUAGAAGCCAAGAAAAUUUAUUUCAGGGCCAUGUAAGGACAUGGACGGCUCAGGCCCCAAAGCCUGAAGCUCCCUGAAAGCUUUCAGGAAAGCCCUUUCAAAGGCAGAGUGAGGGAGGGUCUUGGUUAGUUGUUGCAAAUUUCUUUGUGUCCAAUCCUUUGUUCUUGGAGCUCCAGGCAUAGGUCAGGUCAUGUUGUUCUUGAAAACCUCCAACAAAACAGAUGUUAUUCUCUGUUCUGCAACUUUUUGUUUUUGGUGUGUGUGUGGUGGUGGGGGGAUUGUUUUUGUUUUCUUAACAGCUGUACCCAACACCCAUAGAAGUUCCCCCAGCUAAGUGUCAAUCAGAACUGCCGCUGCAGGCCUGUACCACAGCCAUAGCGACACUGAAUCUGAGCUUCAUCUGUGCCCUGUGCCAUAGCUUGUUCCAACUUGGGAUCCUUAGCCUACUGAGAGAGGCCAGGGAUCAAACCUGCAUCCUUACAGACACUAUGUUGGGUUCUUAAGGAGCUGUGCCACUAUGGGAACUCCUGGUUCUGCAACUUUUUAUCUAAAAAUGUAAUACACUUAAGGGUCAGACCUUGUAUAUUUCAGGCUGUAGGCAGCAUUCUUUUGCAAAAAGUGCAGAGCCGAGAUGACUAAGCACAAGGGACCCAGGUCAAGACCGAGGUCAAAAGCUAAAGUAAGAUUGAAAUAAAAGUAACAGGGAGUUUCCAUCAUGGCUCAGUGGUUAACAAACCCGACUAGUAACCAUGAGGUUGUGGGUUCUGAUCCCUGGCCCCGUUCAGCUGGUUAAGGAUCCGGCAUUGCUGUGAGCUGUGGUUUAGGUCACAGACAGGGCUUGGAUCCCGAUGCGUGGCUGUGGUGUAGCUCCAAUUCGACCCCCAGCCUGGGAACCCCCGCGAAAGACAAAAAAGUGAAUAAAUAAAAUAAAAGGAAUAGGAGUUCCAGUCCUGGCUCAGCGGAAACAAAUCUGACUAAUAUCCAUGAGGAUGUGGAUUAUAAGGAUCCAGUGUUCCCAUGAGCCGUAGUGUAGGUUGCAGAUGCAACUUGGAUCUGGCUUCAUUGGGUGAGCUGCUGUGGCUGUGAUUCAACCCCUAGCCUGGGAACCUCCAUGUGCUGUGGGUAUGGCC
rnacentral:lncRNA from 1 species